GAUGAAGAACGCAGCGAAAUGCGAUAGGUAAUGUGAAUUGCAGAAUUCAGUGAAUCAUCGAAUCUUUGAACGCACAUUGCGCCCUUUGGUAUUCCUUAGGGCAUGCCUGUUCGAGCGUCACUACACACCUUAUCACAAUAUUUGUGGUCUUGGCAGGAGUGAAUUGCUGGUCUAUGGAAGUAUUCCAGCAGUACACAAUGCUAAAAAAUAUGGGAAGGUUACCAGAUAUGAGCAACAGACUUUGUAAAUGGUUGUAGGACCUAGAUCAGUCACAAGUCAUGUCUGGUCCCUUACCUUAAGGACCCCCAUCCUAGAUGAACUAUGGGUUGACCUCGGAUCAGGUAGGAAUACCCGCUGAACUUAAGCAUAUCAAUAAGCGGAGGA
rnacentral:misc_RNA from 1 species